rnacentral:hammerhead_ribozyme from 1 species
AUCCAGCUGAAGAAUCCCAAAUAGGAUGAAACGUGCGGUCUGUAU